rnacentral:rRNA from 1 species
GACGAACGCUGGCGGCGUGCUUAACACAUGCAAGUCGAACGGAAAGGCCCUGCUUUUGUGGGGUGCUUGAGUGGCGAACGGGUGAGUAACACGUGAGUAACCUGCCCUUGACUUUGGGAUAACUUCAGGAAACUGGGGCUAAUACCGGAUAGGAGCUCCUGCUGCAUGGUGGGGGUUGGAAAGUUUCGGCGGUUGGGGAUGGACUCGCGGCUUAUCAGCUUGUUGGUGGGGUAGUGGCUUACCAAGGCUUUGACGGGUAGCCGGCCUGAGAGGGUGACCGGCCACAUUGGGACUGAGAUACGGCCCAGACUCUUACGGGAGGCAGCAGUGGGGAAUAUUGCACAAUGGGCGGAAGCCUGAUGCAGCAACGCCGCGUGCGGGAUGACGGCCUUCGGGUUGUAAACCGCUUUCGCCUGUGACGAAGCGUGAGUGACGGUAAUGGGUAAAGAAGCACCGGCUAACUACGUG